UACGAAGGGGGCUAGCGUUGUUCGGAUUUACUGGGCGUAAAGCGCACGUAGGCGGAUCGAUCAGUCAGGGGUGAAAUCCCAGAGCUCAACUCUGGAACUGCCUUUGAUACUGUCGAUCUGGAGUAUGGAAGAGGUGAGUGGAAUUCCGAGUGUAGAGGUGAAAUUCGUAGAUAUUCGGAGGAACACCAGUGGCGAAGGCGGCUCACUGGUCCAUUACUGACGCUGAGGCACGAAAGCGUGGGGAGCAAACAGG
rnacentral:rRNA from 1 species